CCAAAGGAUCCCAAGAAAUAAAGCUGCAACUGCCAUCUCAGCAAAGGGAAAGAGCCUCAUUUUUAGGGCCUCAUCUGGCAAGCUAAAACUACCUCCCCAGCCUCCCUGCCCGCUGCGAGAUGGACAGUGGUAACAGAGAGGCUGGGGACAGAGUUACAAUAGCAGGUCUCAAGGUGGGUUCGACCCCCUAAAACCGACUGGAAACACAGGUGACUCGCAAGCCUGGGCACAUCAGCUACCUUGAAAAGCUAAGAUUAUAGUUUACAAGGACUGGAUUGGUAACUUCCUCACGUCCAGGGGAACCCAAUCCACACAGGACACGUUUCUACUGGUUGGCAAUGUAAGAAUGGUGAGUCAGGCCAGCCGGCUCAGCAGGUGAAGACGUGCAGGAGCCGAGCUGGGAUCAGAUCUAAUUAUUGGACUGUCAUUGGAGUGGACUUGCAGGACAAUUCACAAGACCUGGCUGAACUGGAUAAUAGAAAAAACCUCACACUCAAACCCAUGAUGAGUCUUACCUCAGCUAUCCUCCUGCUCCCUCUGAGCAGCCUGACAGCAGCCUGGAUCGUCCCUCAACCACAACAGAACAUCUGGGUGACCCCGGCACAAGCACUCCAACAAGAGAGCAUCUGCCUGUCACUGCAGCAGCAAAAGACCCUAUGUCCACCUGUCUGGUAGGAAUCCCACUGCAGGCUGAAGAAUUUUCAGCCAGCUUUAGUGAUGCCAAGUUUAAUACAGAUCACAAAACACUCGAAAACUGUAAGCGGAGAACGGUAACAGUUAAAAACCCUGUAGAAGAGUGGCUAGCAAAAUUGCCCAGAGCAGAAAAAGAACCCCAAGAAUUAGAGCUAUUAGGUUCUGCUCCUGAACCCUUUUGUAUCCACUUUAUGUAUAACACACUGACAGACCCUAAAUUAUAUCACCAUGUAGUACAGCAUCGAAACAAAUUUAAGGCAAGGCAAUGGUGUAGUGUGCGGAAUCACGUCACAGCAGAUGAUCCUCUCUGUUCACAUCCAAGAACCCUCCCUAAAAGCAUAUUUCUGAUUUGCGGAGAUAGAGCGAGGGCAGGGAUCCCAUCUUGCCUUCGAGGAGGACCAUGUACCUUUGGGAGGCUGUCCCUGUUGGCACCUAACCAAACCCAAAUUAAAAAAUGGAUUCGAAAAGAAAAUUCAACCCACAAAAUUUACAAAAGGAACACUGACAUUUUAGAUCCAAAUUGUGAUUCUGACAUUUUUCGUUGGGCAAAAUCAAAAAGAAUUGCUGUAUCCAUAUUUCUUCCAUGCAUUGCAGCUGCCCAGGCAUUAGGUGAAUUGGGACAGUUAGAAUGCUGGGCAGUGAAACAGGCCAACUUAACAUCCACUGCCCUGAGCUCCCUCCUCGAAGACGAAGAAAUUACCAGACAAGCUACCCUCCAGAACAGGGCAGCUAUAGAUUUUCUUUUGCUUCAGCUUGGACACGAAUGCCAGGAAUUUGAAGGACU